GACUCUCGGCAACGGAUAUCUCGGCUCUCGCAUCGAUGAAGAACGUAGCGAAAUGCGAUACCUGGUGUGAAUUGCAGAAUCCCGCGAACCAUCGAGUCUUUGAACGCAAGUU
rnacentral:rRNA from 1 species